rnacentral:rRNA from 1 species
AUUGAACGCUGGCGGCAGGCCUAACACAUGCAAGUCGAGCGGAUGAGUGGAGCUUGCUCCAUGAUUCAGCGGCGGACGGGUGAGUAAUGCCUAGGAAUCUGCCUGGUAGUGGGGGACAACGUCUCGAAAGGAACGCUAAUACCGCAUACGUCCUACGGGAGAAAGUGGGGGAUCUUCGGACCUCACGCUAUCAGAUGAGCCUAGGUCGGAUUAGCUAGUUGGUGAGGUAAAGGCUCACCAAGGCGACGAUCCGUAACUGGUCUGAGAGGAUGAUCAGUCACACUGGAACUGGAACACGGUCCGGACUCCUACGGGAGGCAGCAGUGGGGAAUAUUGGACAAUGGGCGAAAGCCUGAUCCAGCCAUGCCGCGUGUGUGAAGAAGGUCUUCGGAUUGUAAAGCACUUUAAGUUGGGAGGAAGGGCAGUAAGUUAAUACCUUGCUGUUUUGACGUUACCAACAGAAUAAGCACCGGCUAACUUCGUGCCAGCAGCCGCCGUAACAC